AUCCAGGGUAAAACUAAUGUCUAAGGUGGAAAUGGAAGUUAAGUAAGGUAGAUGGAAAAGACUCUCAAAGGGUUAUUCUGAACAAAAAGGAAAGGAAGGUGGCGUGAAUUUGGAAAUAAAGACUGAAGCUUUUUUUCUUGAUGUAACAGGAAAUUAAGCCAUCAGGGAGUGAUGUCACAGGAAAGCUGAAGAAGAUUGCAGGUCCAGGAAGAAUGGACGACCCUGACUUUAUUACAGACGCUUCCUGACUUAUGCUGAUUUAACUCAAGAUGUUUGGCGUUUGUGAUGGUCCCAAAGCAGUAUCCAUUCUUCACAUUUUGAAUUUCCAUCUUCUCUCAGGUUAUUGGUGUCCAGUAUGAUACUCGUUGUGAUUCUGGGUGAGCGUAGCUCCCAAUGGACCAGGAAAUCACAAGGGUGAACAACUAACAGACUUACAACAUUUUUUUGUGAUGUUCUGUACAGUAUUCAAUAAAGUCCAUGAAAUGGUCAACGCUUGGUUAUAAAAUAGGCUUUGUGUUUAAUGAUUUUGCCCAAAUGUAGGUUGACAGAAAUGUUCUGAACAUGUUCUGCACAUUGUGGGCUAUGACUCAACUUUCAGUAAGUCAAGUGUAUUAAAUGUAUUUGUGACUUAAUGCUAUUUUCAGCAUAAAUGGGUUUAUUGGGACGUAACCCCGUUGUAAGUCAAAGAAGGUCUGUACUAUGGCUUCAUCGUGUUUUGAUGUCCUGUAAAUUCAAAUAUGCCUUCAUUCAUCUUUCUUCUUCUUCAAACUUGCCCUGAAUUUUAGAGCCAGCUUGUCACUUUUCUUAGCUUGUUGGGGAUUUAAUUGCAUUAACUUUUAAAGCAUGUUGGUGAAAAGUCCUAUCUUUAAAAUAGUGAUUCUUCCCAUACAUUACAUGCUGUAACUAUUUCCAGGUCUUCUUUUAUGUCCCUAAAUAAUGUUUUCUAGGUUUCUUCAAAAGGUCUUGAAUAUUUAUUGGAAAUAAAUUUAUCCUUAGACAUUUUAAGUUU